UAUGAUCCAGAGUACCACGGGACACGUGAAACCCUGUGGGAAGCAGGAGGGACCACCCUCCAAGGCUAAAUACUACCUAGUGACCGAUAGCGUAUAGUACCGUGAGGGAAAGGUGAAAAGAACCCCGGGAGGGGAGUGAAAUAGAACCUGAAACCCUGCACUUACAAGCUGUGGAAGCACAUUUCUUGUGUGACCGCGUACUUUUUGUAGAACGGGCCAACGAGUUACGUUAAGUAGCAAGGUUAAGCACUUAAGGUG
rnacentral:rRNA from 1 species